rnacentral:rRNA from 1 species
CCUACGGGAGGCUGCAGUGAGGAAUAUUGGUCAAUGGGCGAGAGCCUGAACCAGCCAAGUAGCGUGAAGGAUGACUGCCCUACGGGUUGUAAACUUCUUUUAUCAAGGAAUAAAGUGAGGCACGUGUGCCUUUUGUAUGUACUUUAUGAAAAAGGAUCGGCUAACUCCGUGCCAGCAGCCGCGGUAAUACGGAGGAUCGAAGCGUUAUCCGGAUUUAUUGGGGUUAAAGGGAGCGUAGAUGGGUUGUUAAGUCAGUUGUGAAAGUUUGCGGGUGAACCGUAAAAUUGCAAUUGAUACUGGUAGUCGUGAGUACAGGUGAGGUAGGCGGAAUGCGUGGUGUAGCGGUGAAAUGCUUAGAUAUCACGCAGAACUCCGAUUGCGAAGGCAGCUUACUAAACUGCCACUGACAUUGAUGCUCGAAAGUGUGGGUAGCAAACAGGAUUAGAUACCCUAGUAGUC